rnacentral:lncRNA from 1 species
AAAAAAUAAAAAUGAAGUGCCUCCUUCAGGGUAUGUUUCUGCUGUCACAAUAGACAAAAUGGGCAGCAGUGUGCAGAUCUAAGUCAAUUAGUCUCAGCAAGCCAGCAGUAGACCCCUGAGAUUCAGGUUGAUUUCUGGCUGCAAGGCCCAAGUUGAGCUCCCUGACCUGCAACGUUGAACUCUGUAAGGUUCUACUGCAGGUUCCAACUGCCCUUCCCCUGAAGAUAGUCCAGGUUCCAAUGGGAGGUGGUGUUCCCUCCAACUUACCAACUACGGUGGUCUGGUGUGCCUUUAUUGCAGACUUUCUUCACUUUUCCAAUGGGCUUCAAUUUUCAUCAAGGAACCUGAGAGAGUCCCUCUGUUGUUUUCUUCUGCUUUGUCUUCUGGAGCUCAGGACAAUGGACUUCAUGACACCCUCUGCCUCUGUGAUGUGGAUCCAGAGAUGAAACUCGGGACCUUGUGCUUGCGAGGCAGGCGCCGGAACCACUGAGCUAAAUCCCCGGCCCCAAGCUGAGAAAAUUUUAAAAGAAAGGUUCAUUGCUUCUGAAGAUGGGAGGUAUAGUCUCAGCAAUGUGGUUAUAUUAAUAGGAUGACAAUGGGGUCAUGAUCUUUGCACCCAUUCAAUUUGGCCCAUUGCACAAUGCACUGGUAUGGAUGAUAGGACAAGAUAUGCUUCCCAACUUUUGACAUUACCAACAUCGAAGAGAUAAAUAUUUUUGAAUCAUGAGUGGAACACAAAUGGAAAGAGUUGUUAAAAGUGUAACUUUUCAGAGACUGA